GCUGAUGUGGCUCAGUGGUAGAGCAGCGCACUCGUAAUGCGCAGGUCGCCGGUUCGAAUCCGGCCAUCAGCU
rnacentral:tRNA from 1 species